rnacentral:rRNA from 1 species
GACGUAGGGGGCUAGCGUUGUUCGGAUUCAUUGGGCGUAAAGGGUGCGUAGGCGGCGCGGUAAGUCGGGUGUGAAAUCUCGGAGCUUAACUCCGAAACUGCAUUCGAUACUGCCGUGCUUGAGGACUGGAGAGGAGACUGGAAUUUACGGUGUAGCGGUGAAAUGCGUAGAUAUCGUAAGGAAGACCAGUGGCGAAGGCGGGUCUCUGGACGGUUCCUGACGCUGAGGCACGAAGGUCAGGGGAGCAAACGGG